rnacentral:rRNA from 1 species
UUAGAGGAGAGAGGUCUCACCUGGUAUGGAACUGCCAGUUCUUCGAUGCACGUUAGUACUUUGGUCAAUGUCGAGACUGACCAGCCAAGUCCGUGAACGAGACUGCCUAUGGUGUACCUUCUUACAAGGGAUAAAUGAGAACGGUAAUUAAUGCAUGUACUUUGGAUUAGCAUCGCUACUCGGACCAGCAGCCGCGGUAUUCGAGGAUGCGAGCGUAUUCUGGAUCUAUUGGGUUUAAAGGGUGAGUAGUCGGUCUGUUCAGUCAGCAGUGAAAGUUAGUAGCUUAACGAUAAAAUUGCCGUGAUACUGGUAGUCUUGAGUAUAGAUGAAGUAGGCUGGAAUGCGUGGUGUAGCGGUGAAAUGCAUAGAGAUCACGCAGAACUCCGAUUGCGAAGGCAGCUUACUAAGGUAUAACUGACACUGAAGCACGAAAGCGUGGGUAUCAAACAGGAUUAGAUACCCUGGUAGUGCACGCAGUAAACGAUGAUUACUAGGAGUUUGCGAUAUAGUGUAAGCUCUACAGCGAAAGCGUUAAGUAAUCCACCUGGGGAGUACGCCGGCAACGGUGAAACUCAAAGGAAUUGACGGGGGCCCGCACAAGCGGAGGAACAUGUGGUUUAAUUCGAUGAUACGCGAGGAACCUUACCCGGGAUUGAAAUGUAGACGACGGAGAGUGAGAGCUUUCUUCCCUUCGGGGCGUCUAUGUAGGUGCUGCAUGGUUGUCGUCAGCUCGUGCCGUGAGGUGUCGGCUUAAGUGCCAUAACGAGCGCAACCCUGACUGUCAGUUGCUAACAGGUAAAGCUGAGGACUCUGGCGGGACUGCCGGCGUAAGCUGUGAGGAAGGUUGGGAUGACGUCAAAUCAGCACGGCCCUUACAUCCGGGGCGACACACGUGUUACAAUGGCAGGGACAAAGGGCAGCUACCGGGCGACCGGAUGCCAAUCUCCAAACCCUGUCUCAGUUCGGAUCGGAGUCUGCAACUCGACUCCGUGAAGCUGGAUUCGCUAGUAAUCGCGCAUCAGCCAUGGCGCGGUGAAUACGUUCCCGGGCCUUGUACACACCGCCCGUCAAGCCAUGGGAGCCGGGGGUACCUAAAGUCCGUAACCGCGAGGAUCGGCCUAGGGUAAAACUGGUGACUGGGGCUAAGUCGUAACAAGGUAGCCGUACCGGAAGGUGCGGUUGGAUCACCUCCUUC